CCUACGGGUGGCAGCAGUGGGGAAUCUUCCGCAAUGGGCGCAAGCCUGACGGAGCAAUGCCGCGUGAACGAAGAAGGUCUUCGGAUUGUAAAGUUCUGUCCUUAUCGAAGAGAGAGUAGAGAGUGAAAAAUGAUAUACUAGGACGGUAGAUGAGGAGGAAGCCCCGGCUAACUACGUGCCAGCAGCUGUGGUAAUACGUAGGGGGUGAGCGUUGUCCGGAAACACUGGGCGUAUAGGGCGUGUAGGCGGGAAUAUAAGUGAGAUGGGAAAGGUGGGGGCUCAACCCCUAGAGUGCAAUUGAUACUGUAUAGCUUGAGUGUGAGAGAGGGAAGCGGAAUUCCUAGUGUAGCGGUGAAAUGCGUAGAUAUUAGGAGGAACACCGGUGGCGAAGGCGGCUUUCUGGCUCAUAACUGACGCUGAGGCGCGAAAGCGUGGGGAGCAAACAGGAUUAGAUACCCGAGUAGUC
rnacentral:rRNA from 1 species